GCAUCCGUAGCCGGUUGCAUAAGUUUUCGGUUAAAUCUAUGCGCUCAACGUAUAGGCCGCCGAAAAUACUGUGCAGCUAGGGAGUGGGAGAGGUACACGGUACUCAGUAGGAAGGGGUAAAAUCCUUUGAUCUAUUGAUGACCACCUGUGGCGAAGGCGGUCUACCAGAACACGUUCGACGGUGAGGGAUGAAAGCUGGGGGAGCAAACCGGAUUAGAUACCCGGGUAGUCUCAGCUGUAAACGAUGCAGACUCGGUGAUGCAUUGGCUUAUGGCCAGUGCAGUGCCGCAGGGAAGCCGUUAAGUUUGCCGCCUGGGAAGUACGUACGCAAGUAUGAAACUUAAAGGAAUUGGCGGGGGAGCACAAGCCGAAU
rnacentral:rRNA from 2 species